rnacentral:lncRNA from 1 species
GAUAAAUGUAGAUGAAUACAUGUCAGAUAAUGAAAGUAUAUAUUCAGUAAUAAGUAUAGAUGCUUUAGAAGGAAGACAACAAGAUUCGUCUGAUUCAGAAGAAGAAACUUUAAUAAACGAAAUAGGAUUAGAAUAAUUAGACUUAAAUAACAAGGAUUUUACAUUUGUCAAUAUACAAUGCGAUCACCAAUUUUCAAAAGGAAAAGGUUUAGAUAGUAAAAAAUGCUUUAAUUGCACAGGAUACCCC